GACGAACGCUGGCGGCGUGCUUAACACAUGCAAGUCGAACGGAAAGGCCCUGCUUUUGUGGGGUGCUCGAGUGGCGAACGGGUGAGUAACACGUGAGUAACCUGCCCUUGACUUUGGGAUAACUUCAGGAAACUGGGGCUAAUACCGGAUAGGAGCUCCUGCUGCAUGGUGGGGGUUGGAAAGUUUCGGCGGUUGGGGAUGGUCUCGCGGCUUAUCGGCUUGUUGGUGAGGUAGUGGCUUACCAAGGCUUUGACGGGUAGCCUGCAUGAGAGGGUGACCGGCCACAUUGGGACUGCGAUACGGCCCAGACUCCUACGGGAGGCAGCAGUGGGGAAUAUUGCACAAUGGGCGGAAGCCUGAUGCAGCAACGCCGCGUGCGGGAUGACGGCCUUCGGGUUGUAAACCGCUUUCGCCUGUGACGAAGCGUGAGUGACGGUAAUGGGUAAAGAAGCACCGGCUAACUACGUG
rnacentral:rRNA from 1 species